rnacentral:rRNA from 1 species
CAGCCGCCACGGGAAAACGGAUGGUGCAAGCGUUAAUCGGAAUUACUGGGCGUAAAGCGCACGCAGGCGGUCUGUCAAGUCAGAUGUGAAAUCCCCGGGCUUAACCUGGGAACUGCAUUUGAAACUGGCAGGCUAGAGUCUUGUAGAGGGGGGUAGAAUUCCAGGUGUAGCGGUGAAAUGCGUAGAGAUCUGGAGGAAUACCGGUGGCGAAGGCAGCCCCCUGGGCCAACACUGACGCUCAUGCACGAAAGCGUGGGGAGCAAACAGGAUUAGAUACCCCGGUAGUCCCUGUCUCUUAUAC